GACGAACGCUGGCGGCGUGCUUAACACAUGCAAGUCGAACGGUAAGGCCCUUCGGGGUACACGAGUGGCGAACGGGUGAGUAACACGUGGGUGAUCUGCCCUGCACUUCGGGAUAAGCCUGGGAAACUGGGUCUAAUACCGGAUAGGACCACUGCCUGCAUGGGUGGUGGUGGAAAGCUUUUGCGGUGUGGGAUGGGCCCGCGGCCUAUCAGCUUGUUGGUGGGGUGAUGGCCUACCAAGGCGACGACGGGUAGCCGGCCUGAGAGGGACCGGCCACACUGGGACUGAGAUACGGCCCAGACUCCUACGGGAGGCAGCAGUGGGGAAUAUUGCACAAUGGGCGCAAGCCUGAUGCAGCGACGCCGCGUGAGGGAUGACGGCCUUCGGGUUGUAAACCUCUUUCAGCACCGACGAAGCGCAAGUGACGGUAGGUGCAGAAGAAGGACCGGCCAACUACGUGCCAGCCGCCGCAGUAA
rnacentral:rRNA from 1 species